ensembl:lncRNA
CGCAGCCCCGGCAACCUCGCGCGGGAAGCGUCGGUCGGCGGAGCGCGGGAACUGCGGGAGACGUUGGGCCGCGCUCAGCAUGGCUGGCUUUCCUUGCACUCGGUCGUACUGGGCGUUUGGCGUUUUCUUUUUCCCCAUGGUGUCAGGCAGAGCCCGAGUUGGCACUGAGGCGUCUGCACUGGGAGGCGAGGGUGACCAGACUCAGCUUUAUUAUCCUAAUGAAAUAUCACACAGUCCCCCACCAGGAUGGUAAUCAUCAUCAUCACCAGUAUCAUAAUCAUCUCCCUUUCAGGAAGAAGGACCAAAUGGGAGAAGAUAAGGGUACAGAGAAAAGGACACAGCAUAGCAAGAAGAAAUGGAAUGAGAACUUUUGGUGCAGAUUGAGAGAGGUAUGAGAUCAGUGGUUUUGCUCUGCCACCUAUUCCUACCAUGAGGGCUCAACACAGGCCUAAAACAACAUGGAUCAAUUGACAAGAGACUAAAGCCUCCUAACUUUGAGUCAAAAGCAACCCUCUUGUCUUGAUAAGGUGACUACCUGAAAGCUUACUGACGGUGAAUUGUUGUUUGUGAAAUUGCUACUCUAUUAAGAAUUUUAUCAUGUCUGACUUCAUUAGAACUCUUAUUUGGCUAGCUGCUAAUGCAAUCAGGAUUUUAUAUUCUAUCAUUUUACAUACAAGUGAAUACUUAGUCUUCAGCCAACCAUAUUAUUCCAUAAUUACCUCAGCAGCAUAAAGCAGCCACCUCCCAUGUAUGAUACCAAGAAGCCACACACAAAAAAACAACGCAUAACACAUAUCUUUCCAGUAUAUAUGGGAAUAUAUAUAUAUAUAAAUAUGUGAAUAUAUAUAAUGUGAACUAUACAUAUAUUCACAUUUUGAAGUCUAUUCACAUUUGCAACUCUAAGUAAUGUCAAAGAAGGCAUCUUUUCCCCCAUAAUACAUGGAAGGGGUAGAAAUUACGAAGAAUGGAGGCAAGUAAUGUCAGUGGAAAAUAUAAACUGGUGCAAACUUCAGUUUUACAUACGUGCUUAUAGGUUUAUAUUUGCUUUGUAGAGAGGGAUUCUGAAGGACUCUGAUUUAAUUGAUAUGACCUCAAAGCUCAGCUUGAGUAUAUGAUGAGUAUUGAACAAAUCAUUAUAGAAUAAAAUGAUUGAAGAAUAAUUUUCUAUGUUCUUUUAAAAAAUGAAUUCAUGUGAGCUAAAGAGUACAGUGUACUAGCAGACAGUACAGUAGAAAUGAUACUGGAGAUAACAUCAAAAGAGCAGAUCUGGAUCUCUGGCAUUUACUAGUUAGUGGUAUAACUUACUACAGGUUACUUUACCUUCCUUUCUUCAAGGUCUAGUGACAAAAAAUUAGGUGGGAGAAAUUGUUUUAUAAAACCUGAAUAUACACAAAGGUUAAAUGGUAUUUUAAAGCUAGAAUAACUUAUUUACUAGCACCUUCUUUGCAUCUACUGACUUAUUUCUGGCCAGAAUCCAACCACGAUAUUAUUUCCUAUCAUGUGCAAUACAUUGGUUUCCCAGGAUACUCUAUUCGUUUUGACAGUCAGGAAGAUAUGCCUAAGGAAUGGACAUUUCUAGAAAUGCUAUUGCAUUUGACACUGUCUUUAAAAGAUAGAUCUCCAGGAACUAACAUUUUAACCUGUGACUUUAUAUUAUUUUCUAGUGAUGACUUGCAUUAUAGAGCUGUGAGAAAUAAACUUCUGUUUUUUAAGCCCCCAUUGUAUGAUAUUUUGUUAUGUCAGCCUGAACUAAUUAAUGCAUGAGUAUUUCUGAGUAUUAAAAUAUUUGUAUUGAUUAAAUUAGUGAUGCUAGGCCAUGAAAACACUGAGUGUGGACACACACAGAAUCUUUUUUUUUUAAAUUUAAUUUUAUUGGUACAUUUAGGUAUACAAUAUAAUGACAUUUAUCAUUGGAAAUUUGCACCUUUACAUACUCUCUUGGUUCUUAUUUUUUCCCCAUUCCCCUGCCCUUCCUUCAACCACUCCAUUCCUCCUUAUUUACAAAGACUUUGUUUCAAUUUUUUCAUUUUCUAAUAUUAAUUCCAUUCCCUUCUUUCCUUUUCCCUACCCCUCCCAUUUCCCUUCCCUUUUGCCCCUUUUCUUCCUAUUUCACAUUAUCUAUUAUACCUUUUAGUUCAUAUUUACACUUUCAGUUUCUCACACUAGAGAAAUUAUUUAGUAUUUACACAUGUGUGUCCUAUUUCAUUUAAGAGUAUCACCUCAACGUGCAUCCAUUUAGCUAUAAGUAUCUCUAAUUUCUCAUUUUUAUGGCUGAGUAGUACUCCAUUUUAUUAAAUAAAAACCACACCUUUUCUUUAUCCAGUCUCCAGUUGAUGCGCAAUUGGGCUACUUCCAAGUUUCAGCUAUUACAAGCUGAUAUGAGCAUGGGUGCACAUAUAUCACUGUGGUAUAAUUCUUUUAAUUCUUUGGGGAAGAUACCCAGCAGGGGAAAAGCUGGGUCAAAUGGAUCUUCCAGUCCUAGUUCUUUGAGGUAUCUCUAUACUGAUUUCCAUAGUGGUUGCACCAGUCUACACUCCCAUCAGCACUGGAGCAGUCUUCCUCUUUCCCCACAGCCCUAGCAGCAUUUCUUAUUGGUUG